rnacentral:rRNA from 1 species
AUUGAACGCUGGCGGCAGGCCUAACACAUGCAAGUCGAGCGGAUGAAGGGAGCUUGCUCCUGGAUUCAGCGGCGGACGGGUGAGUAAUGCCUAGGAAUCUGCCUGGUAGUGGGGGAUAACGUCCGGAAACGGGCGCUAAUAUCGCAUACGUCCUGAGGGAGAAAGAGGGGGAUCUUCGGACCUCACGCUAUCAGAUGAGCCUAGGUGGGAUUAGCUAGUUGGUGGGGUAAAGGCCUACCAAGGCGACGAUCCGUAACUGGUCUGAGAGGAUGAUCAGUCACACUGGAACUGAGAAACGGUCCAGACUCCUACGGGAGGCAGCAGUGGGGAAUAUUGGACAAUGGGCGAAAGCCUGAUCCAGCCAUGCCGCGUGUGUGAAGAAGGUCUUCGGAUUGUAAAGCACUUUAAGUUGGGAGGAAGGGCAGUAAGUUAAUACCUUGCUGUUUUGACGUUACCAACAGAAUAAGCACCGGCUAACUUCGUG